rnacentral:rRNA from 1 species
AUUGAACGCUGGCGGCAGGCCUAACACAUGCAGGUCGAACGGUAACAGGAAACAGCUUGCUGUUUCGCUGACGAGUGGCGGACGGGUGAGUAAUGUCUGGGAAACUGCCUGAUGGAGGGGGAUAACUACUGGAAACGGUAGCUAAUACCGCAUAACGUCGCAAGACCAAAGAGGGGGACCUUCGGGCCUCUUGCCAUCAGAUGUGCCCAGAUGGGAUUAGCUAGUAGGUGGGGUAACGGCUCACCUAGGCGACGAUCCCUAGCUGGUCUGAGAGGAUGACCAGCCACACUGGAACUGAGACACGGUCCAGACUCCUACGGGAGGCAGCAGUGGGGAAUAUUGCACAAUGGGCGCAAGCCUGAUGCAGCCAUGCCGCGUGUAUGAAGAAGGCCUUCGGGUUGUAAAGUACUUUCAGCGGGGAGGAAGGGAGUAAAGUUAAUACCUUUGCUCAUUGAUGUUACCCGCAGAAGAAGCACCGGCUAACUCCGUG